rnacentral:lncRNA from 1 species
GCAUAACGGGUGUUAUUUAGCUAAGUGGUGCCUGCCCAGUAGGUGCUCAGGAUCCAGGGAGAGAGGCAGACUCAACAUGCAAACAACUCUUCUAUGAGGGUUUUUGCCUACAUUCUAGACUAACCCUGUUUAUCCCCGUGAACCAACCAGUGAUCUCUGGCUGUAUCUCAGAAGAAACAGACAGAUGGGUAAUAUAAAGAUCUAGAUCAAUAGUCUAGUUCUGGACAAUUAUCCUGCAAAGCCUGCAAGGUGAUCUGCCCUAGUACGUCACUGAAGAGAGACUAAAGAAAAAAUUGUCUAAUUUCAUAGGACAUUAUAGAUCCUGUGAGUCUUCUAAGGUACCUCCCUGCUUGCUAGGGCAUAGGAAUUUGCACAUGGGAAUCUACAGUCUUUUAUGCCAAGAAACAAUUCCCAGAAAUCAUUUCCUUCUCAAGUGGCUUUCUGGCCUCCCUGGAGCUCAACACAGUUUUUAGGGCUCAAGGUCCCUCUUUCUAUUUAUUUUCUGCUCCCAUCAUUUCUUUAUUUUUCCUUCCUGACCAAGAUGUUUUUUUUUUUCUUUUUUAUUACAGGAACAAAAAGACAUAUUAUUUUCUGCCUGUUCCUUGUGGGAAAAAAUUCAAAUUUUCUAAAUUUUAUAAGGGCUGCAAUUUCCGAAAUAUUCUUCCAUUCAUUCAGGAAGUACUUGAAUAUCUACUAAAUGCCAACCACUCUUUUCUGGAUGUUUAGCAGUAAGCAAAAACAAAGUUAUGCUUGUGGAAAGAAACAAAAAAAAUAA